rnacentral:rRNA from 1 species
GACGAACGCUGGCGGCGUGCUUAACACAUGCAAGUCGAACGGAAAGGCCCUGCUUUUGUGGGGUGCUCGAGUGGCGAACGGGUGAGUAACACGUGAGUAACCUGCCCUUGACUUUGGGAUAACUUCAGGAAACUGGGGCUAAUACCGGAUAGGAGCUCCUGCUGCAUGGUGGGGGUUGGAAAGUUUCGGCGGUUGGGGAUGGACUCGCGGCUUAUCAGCUUGUUGGUGGGGUAGUGGCUUACCAAGGCUUUGACGGGUAGCCGGCCUGAGAGGGUGACCGGCCACAUUGGGACUGAGAUACGGCCCAGACUCCUACGGGAGGCAGCAGUGGGGAAUAUGGCACAAUGGGCGGAAGCCUGAUGCAGCAACGCCGCGUGCGGGAUGACGGCCUUCGGGUUGUAAACCGCUUUCACCUGUGACGAAGCGUGAGUGACGGUAAUGGGUAAAGAAGCACCGGCUAACUACGU